UGUCCUCCUAUUGAUGAAAUGGAUACCCUCCUUUGAGAGUGGAUAUAACCUGAACUCCCUUCUUUAUUCUUUUGCCAAGGGUAAAACUCUUACAGGUGAAGUUUCAGACAAGGGAAAGGAGAAGCAUGAGGAGAAGUUGAGAAUUUAAUAUAGCUUUUGCUGGUUAUAAAGUGUAUUUUGAAUUGUGUGAAAAGAUUAAUGCAUAUUUGCUAGUUACUAGCAUGCUUUAUGGACAUAAUCUUGUGCAAUUGGGUUGUGUUGUUGAUAAUUUGAAGUACCAUAUUUGUAUCUUUAGGAUGUAAACAACUCAAUUGAGAUUGGUCUAGCCUUGGCCUUUGGAUUUUGCAAGUUCUCAGUGUUUUCAA